GCAUUAGUAGCUCAAUGUUAGAGCAUCG
rnacentral:tRNA from 1 species